UCGGUAACGAGGGGGCUGGAGGAAGUCGAUAGCAAACCACUGGCCUGACGAACAGGAAGCAGAUGUGAGGCUAGGCGAUUGGGGAAGAGGGCCGCAAUACUCAAACCCAAUACUCAGCCGGAACAUGGUCGCAAGGUAGAUCUGACAGGUAAAGUGGGAAAGUAG
rnacentral:ncRNA from 1 species